GGGAUUCUCUCUCUUCUCCUCCUUUCUCUCUAUCUUCUAUUUUCACGUGUUUGUUUUUUUUUUCUAGCGACGAAGGACGGGAUUGAGUUAAAUCUCUGAUUCACCGCUGUUUCUAUCCUCCGGCAGAACUACAAGAGUUAUCUCAUCAUCUCCACCGACGUUUGGUUUCCACGGCGACGAGGAGAAGCUCUAAUCGGCGUCGAGGAGAAGCUGUAAUCGUAGAUCUAAGUUCAAGAUCUCCGAUUUUUCAACAAAUCGGAGUUAAUCCUUCACAAAUCGGUUAUUUCUAGAUUAUAUGGAGAUACAAAGAAAGAUAGAAUCUGCUACAUAUGAUUGGAGAUUUUAUGAGAGAACUCAGAGGAAGAUUACUCCGGAUUAAGACUAGAGAUUAGGGUAAGUAAUAACUGUCUUUUCUUCCUUAACUGAUCUGAAUAUUGAUGAUAUAUAUUAGGUGAGACUUGAAUUGUGUGAUUAGUAUUGUUGCUUGUUCAUUAAAUGCAUACCAAGAAAGAGGAACAAGUGGACAUCCAAAGAAGAUGUGGUCCUCAUCUCUGCUUGGUAAUAAACAAAGAGGAGAAGCUUUCUGGAAGCGCAUUGCAACAUACUUUUCAGCUAGUCUCAAUGUUUCUACUCUGAAACAGAGGCUGCCAAGUCAUUUCAAAUGAAGGUGGGCAAAGAUUAACGCGAUUGUUUGCAAGUUUGUGGGAUCCUAUCAAGCUGCAACAACUAAGAUGACAAGUGGGCACAAUGAUGAUGAUUUGAUGAAACUAGCUCAUCAGAUUUACGAGAGUGAUUACAAGAAGAAGUUCAUGCUAGAGCAUGCAUGGAGAGAGUUAAGACAUGAUCAGACUGGCAAGAUUAAAAGAAGAAAGGUUGAAUCUGGUUCUAUGCAUUCUUCUGAAGCUUCCCAAGCCCAUGGAGAGUCUGUAGCUUCUCAAGCUCGUCCACCUGGUGUGAAGGCUGCCAAGGGUUAAGGCAAAAGGACUGCCAACAGUUCACCUAAUGUGGAAGUAGAAGGGCAGGCAUUGGAAAGGAUUCAGACUUUGUGGGACAUAAAACAACAAAAUUUUGCUAAGAACAUGCUUUGAAAGAUAAACUUACCAACAGGAAAUUGUUUGAAUUUCUUCAAGCUAAAUCAGAUCCUCUUACUGAAAUUGAGGAAGAACUAAAGACCAAGCUAAUUACAGAGAUUUUGCUUUGAAUUUCUUGCUUGUAUUUAUGUUUAUGUUUCUGGUUGUCUUCGUGUUUGUGUUUAUGUUUGUGUUUAUGUUACCAACAAUGUAGUUUGUGUUUAUGGUUCUGUUUCAUAUGCUAAAUGAUGUUUACGUUUCAAUUAA